ACACUCCUGCGGGAGGCAGCAGUGGGGAAUAUUGGACAAUGGGCGCAAGCCUGAUCCAGCCAUGCCGCGUGAGUGAUGAAGGCCCUAGGGUUGUAAAGCUCUUUCACCGGUGAAGAUAAUGACGGUAACCGGAGAAGAAGCCCCGGCUAACUUCGUGCCAGCAGCCGCGGUAAUACGAAGGGGGCUAGCGUUGUUCGGAUUUACUGGGCGUAAAACGCACGUAGGCGGACUAUUAAGUCAGGGGUGAAAUCCCGGGGCUCAACCCCGGAACUGCCUUUGAUACUGGUAGUCUUGAGUUCGAGAGAGGUGAGUGGAAUUCCGAGUGUAGAGGUGAAAUUCGUAGAUAUUCGGAGGAACACCAGUGGCGAAGGCGGCUCACUGGCUCGAUACUGACGCUGAGGUGCGAAAGCGUGGGGAGCAAACAGGAUUAGAUACCCUUGUAGUCCCAUG
rnacentral:rRNA from 1 species